CCUACGGGUUGCAGCAGUGGGGAAUUUUGGACAAUGGGCGAAAGCCUGAUCCAGCAAUGCCGCGUGCAGGAUGAAGGCCCUCGGGUUGUAAACUGCUUUUGUACGGAACGAAUAGCCUGGGGCUAAUAUCCUCGGGUCAUGACGGUACCGUAAGAAUAAGCACCGGCUAACUACGUGCCAGCAGCCGCGGUAAUACGUAGGGUGCAAGCGUUAAUCGGAAUUACUGGGCGUAAAGCGUGCGCAGGCGGUUUUGUAAGACAGUGGUGAAAUCCCCGGGCUCAACCUGGGAACUGCCAUUGUGACUGCAAGGCUAGAGUGCGGCAGAGGGGAAUGGAAUUCCGCGUGUAGCAGUGAAAUGCGUAGAUAUGCGGAGGAACACCGAUGGCGAAGGCAAUCCCCUGGGCCUGCACUGACGCUCAUGCACGAAAGCGUGGGGAGCAAACAGGAUUAGAUACCCGUGUAGUC
rnacentral:rRNA from 1 species